rnacentral:rRNA from 1 species
UACGUAGGGGGCGAGCGUUGUCCGGAUUUAUUGGGCGUAAAGAGCGUGUAGGCGGCCAGGUAGGUCUGCUGUGAAAACUCGAGGCUCAACCUCGAGACGUCGGCGGAAACCAUCUGGCUAGAGUCCGGAAGAGGAGAGUGGAAUUCCUGGUGUAGCGGUGAAAUGCGCAGAUAUCAGGAAGAACACCCGUGGCGAAGGCGGCUCUCUGGGACGGUACUGACGCUGAGACGCGAAAGCGUGGGGAGCGAACAGG